AACGAGAACGCUCUAGCUUGCUAGAGCUAGUAAAGUGGCGCACGGGUGAGUAACACGUGGGUAAUUUACCUUUAGGUCAGGGACAACACUGCGAAAGCGGUGCUAAUACCCGAUAAUGUCUGAAUAGCUACGGCUUUUCAGACCAAAGGAAGCCUCUACAUGUAAGCUUCUGCCCAAAGAAAAGCCCGCGGACCAUUAGCUUGUUGGUGGGGUAAUAGCCUACCAAGGCAACGAUGGUUAGCUGGUCUGAGAGGAUGAUCAGCCACACUGGAACUGAGACACGGUCCAGACUCCUACGGGAGGCAGCAGUGAGGAAUUUUGCGCAAUGGGGGAAACCCUGACGCAGCAACGCCGCGUGAGUGAAGAAGGCUUUUGAGUCGUAAAGCUCUGUCAAGUGGAAAGAAAUUGUUUAUCAUUAAUAGUGGUAAGCAUUGACGGUACCACUAAAGGAAGCACCGGCUAACUACGUGCCAGCAGCCGCGGUAAAACGUAGGACGCAAGCGUUAUCCGGAAUUACUGGGCGUAAAGCGCGCGCAGGCGGGUCAGCAAGCCAUGUGUGAAAGCUCCUGGCUAAACUGGGAGAGGACGGAUGAAACUGCUGAUCUAGAGGGUGUUAGAGGAGUGUGGAAUUCCGCGUGUAGUGGUGAAAUGCGUAGAGAUGCGGAGGAACACCAGUGGCGAAGGCGGCACUCUGGGACACACCUGACGCUGAGGCGCGAAAGCAUGGGUAGCGAACGGGAUUAGAAACCCCGGUAGUCCAUGCCGUAAACGAUGUGCAUUAAAUGUUCGUUUGGCGCAAGC
rnacentral:rRNA from 1 species